GGCUGCAUGGUGGAGCAGUUGGUAGCACUGUUGCCUUGAAGGUCCUGGGUUCAAAUCCCAGUCUGGGGUCU